AGGUUACUGCUAUCGGUGUUCGCCUAAGCCAUGCGAGUCAUAUGUUCGUAAGAACAUGGCGUACUGCUCAGUAACACGUGGAUAACCUGCCCUUGGGUCCGGCAUAACCCCGGGAAACUGGGGAUAAUUCCGGAUAACGCACAUAUGCUGGAAUGCUUUUUGCGUAAAAUGGAUUCGUCUGCCCAAGGAUGGGUCUGCGGCCUAUCAGGUAGUAGUGGGUGUAAUGUACCUACUAGCCUACGACGGGUACGGGUUGUGAGAGCAAGAGCCCGGAGAUGGAUUCUGAGACAUGAAUCCAGGCCCUACGGGGCGCAGCAGGCGCGAAAACUUUACAAUGCGGGAAACCGUGAUAAGGGGACACCGAGUGCCAGCAUCCUAUGCUGGCUGUCCGGGUGUGUAAAAUACACCCGUUAGCAAGGGCCGGGCAAGACCGGUGCCAGCCGCCGCGGUAACACCGGCGGCCCGAGUGGUAAUCGUGAUUAUUGGGUCUAAAGGGUCCGUAGCCGGUUUGGUCAGUCCUCCGGGAAAUCUGACAGCUCAACUGUUAGGCUAUCGGAGGAUACUGCCAGACUUGGAACCGGGAGAGGUAAGAGGUACUACAGGGGUAGGAGUGAAAUCUUGUAAUCCCUGUGGGACCACCUGUGGCGAAGGCGUCUUACCAGAACGGGUUCGACGGUGAGGGACGAAAGCUGGGGGCACGAACCGGAUUAGAUACCCGGGGUCCCAGCCGUAAACGAUGCUCGCCAGGUGUCAGGCAUGGCGCGACCGUGUCUAGUGCCGCAGGGAAGCCGUGAAGCGAGCCACCUGGGAAGUACGGCCGCAAGGCUGAAACUUAA
rnacentral:rRNA from 1 species